UACGUAGGGUGCGAGCGUUGUCCGGAAUUACUGGGCGUAAAGAGCUCGUAGGUGGUUUGUCGCGUUGUUCGUGAAAACUCACAGCUCAACUGUGGGCGUGCGGGCGAUACGGGCAGACUAGAGUACUGCAGGGGAGACUGGAAUUCCUGGUGUAGCGGUGGAAUACGCAGAUAUCAGGAGGAACACCGAUGGCGAAGGCAGAUCUCUGGGCCGUAACUGACGCUGAGGAGCGAAAGCGUGGGGAGCGAACAGG
rnacentral:rRNA from 1 species